ACUGUAAACCCAGAUUUUGUUUCUAGUUAAACUUCUGAGUGAUCAUUACUUAUACUGUUAUGUUUUGUAAAAACCUGCUAUCAUUACUAAACAACAUUAGUUAAUUGUACUUUUUAGCUGAAAUAGUAAGUGCCACUAAUCCGGUUUAGUAGAAUUAACUUGGUGUGUUUAGUUUUAUAACAAAGGGGAGGGGCCUAAUUCAAAACUUCACUGGGCGCCCCACAAGGCCUCUGCAACGGAUUCAACGCGGACUCUGCGGGAGGGAAGAAAGCAGACUGUUGCCGACAUUUUCUCAGCAGCAUUGAACGCCUUGAACGAUCCUUGUGUUGUGAAGAUGCUGUGGAAGUAUAACCUGGCUGCUCAUUCUCUGGCAGGAUUCUUCGAAAGCUUUACGGUGGACAGAUUCUGCAGGUUCUGCAUGGCAACAAGGGACGAGAUGCAAGCCAAAGAGAUGACUGCAAACCAGAAAAUGACCAUGAGAGUCAUUCUAACAGAGGCAGAUAUAAGGAAAGUCAUCCUACAUUCAAGGCCUUCUACAGUAAAAGACUUGAUAACCAAGCUUCGAGAGUCACUGGGACUUCAAUACAACUUCAGUCUCCAAUUCCAAGACCCUGAAUUCAAUAAUGAACUAUGUAAUCUAACAGAUCUUCAAGAACUUCCAGAAAAACCAACCAUUAAAGUCCUGCCUGUCUUUGACCUGGUGCCUGUCUCAUCUGAUGACGUCUUUAGCGACACAAGUACUGCAGAUACAGAGAUACUCUCACAUUCACCUCAGGAUCGACGUGAACCAUGGCCAGAAUUUUUUGACAUUCCAACAUUUUCUGUUGAUGUGGAGUAUAGACUGAGGCAAGCAGAUUUGCUGUUUAUGAGUGAAGGAACACACCUUAAGGUCUCAAAAGAGCUGAAACAUGAGAUACUAGAGAGACUGGCAGAAAGCAUGUAUAGCUACACAGCAUACCCAACUGCUGCUCAGUUUGAAAGUGUUGCAACAGCACUGAUAAACAAACACCCCUGUCUCCAGGAGCGAGGCUCUGUCACUCGCUGUUGUGGUUGGAAAAAUAGUCUAAAGCAUAAAAUGGGAAAUUAUAGAACAAAGCGCAGGCAAUCAGGAUGCCUUGAUGUUGCAGUAAAUGCCGGUAAGCGGGGAAGGCAUUCAUCAGAUGGACAACCAGCAAACAAGCGGAUAAAAAAGGCAAAGAAAGGUGAAAUCAACUACUUGCCCAACUUUCCGGAUGGAUUUGAUCAAGCUGCCCUGGAAGAGGCCCGUAAGGACUUGGCUGAUGAAAUGCAGAAGAGAACCCCAAAUGGACUUCUUGUAAAACAAAAGAUGGAUCAGACUUUUGCUUUGAGAAGAAAAGAGGUUGUGGACUCUGAACCCCCAUAAACAUGAUGGUGAAACGCUGGCCUGCCCUCUUCACAGAAGAUCAGGUGUUCAUGGAGUUCAGCAGGAUUGUGGGCAAGAACCUCAAGCAGGAAUUUUAUGAGAACAUCGAUCGGCACAGUCCUCGUUUCCUUGAGUUAUUUCGUUCCAAGAGAGGGAAUGUUGGACAGUUGUUGACUCAGAUUUCACAACAGACCAAUACUACUGACCCAACUGCAAUCCGGACACAGGUGCUCAGAGGGCUUCCAAUCAUCCUGGGGGACAAUCCUUCAACCUUCUUCAAAGCAGGCUUUGAAUCAGAUGCUGAUUUUUUCCGUGACCUUGACAUCGGGAUUCUUCUCACUGAGCGUGAAGAGGCUGUGCUCACAUCUGCCCAGCAUCCAAGUCCAACCUUGUUGAAAAUUAUCAUUGAGGGAGAAGUCGUGAUGGAAAACAUCCAAGAUCUGCCUAAAGCAAUGUGCAUUCUGUUUGGACUCACGUAUGCACUCCAUCUUAACUAUCCUAAAAGUAUGAAGCUGACCUUUCUGUUCAUCCAACAGAUUUUGCUCUCAUUAGGCCACACUGACCUAAAGCCAAAGAUACAAUCUUUGAAAAAUCAGCUUACAAUGUAAAGUGAUGUCAUCUCUACUGUGACAUGUUUGUUUUUUUUCCUCACCUUUUUGGUUCUGUAAAACAGCCCAACAAAAAGGCACAAAACGCAGAAACAGACACAUUCAGCACCCAGUCAGAACAGUCCCAUACAACACCUACAAACAAAAAACACUACACAUAAACUUCUAUACACACAAACACACACACACACACACUUAGAUGCUUUAGAAGUGAGCAGAAGCAUGUGACGUGAAAGUAAAAAUUGAAGAGUUGUACCUGAAAGACAGACAUUGUUUAAGUUGUUGCAUCAUAAGUCUUUGUAGAUGGAGUUGGAUAUUGUUCUAAUUAGAAAGUCUUUGUUAGUAUGUCUGUUGACCUGCCUUAAUGUAGGCAGAUGGUGCAGAUCCUGUUUGUAACAGGGAAUUUUUGGGAAUUCUGUUUUUUGUUGGUUGUUACAUUCACCUACCACACAACACACACACAUUCAACUACCACACAAACACACACACAUUCAACUACCACACAAACACACACACAUUCAACUACCACACAAACACACACACAUUCAACUACCACACAGACAAAUUAACAUUGGCUUUGUUGUGGCUUUUUCUUAAAAAUAAAAUGCAUUGGAGCAUU